rnacentral:rRNA from 1 species
GUAGGUGAACCUGCGGAAGGAUCAUUAAUGAUGCCCUCGAAGUCUUUGGACUGGUAGGGUUUGUGUCGGUCUCUUCGGAGUCGACCUUAUCUCACACACCGUGAACUGUGGCUUCGGCCAUUUACACAAACUGUUAGUAAUGAAUGUAACAUCAUAACAAACAUAAAACUUUUAACAACGGAUCUCUUGGCUCUCGCAUCGAUGAAGAACGCAGCGAAAUGCGAUAAGUAAUGUGAAUUGCAGAAUUCAGUGAAUCAUCGAAUCUUUGAACGCACCUUGCGCCCUUUGGUAUUCCGAAGGGCAUGCCUGUUUGAGUGUCAUGAAACCUCACCCCACUUGGGUUUUUGCCCGAGCGGUGGUGGAUUGGGUGUCUGCCGUUACUGGCUCACCUUAAAAGCAUAAGCAACUUUGGAUGUAAUACGUUUCAUCCUUACGAGUGGCUGAUAACCCCACAUAACUCAUGAUCUGGCCUCAAAUCAGGUAGGGCUACCCGCUGAACUUAAGCAUAUCAAUAAGCGGAGGAAAGGAUCAUUAAUGAUGCCUCGAAGUCUUUGGACUGGUAGGGUUUGUGUCGNCUCUUGGAGUCGACUUAUCUCACACACCGUGAACUGUGGCUUCGCCAUUUACACAAACUGUUAGUAAUGAAUGUAAAUCAUAACAAACAUAAACUUUUAACAACGGAUCUCUUGGCUCUCGCAUCGAUGAAGACGCAGCGAAAUGCGAUAGUAAU